UUGAGCAAGAUGGAGAAGCAGGGCACGUGCAUUACUAACUCUAAUAACCAUUCUCAAUUUUCCUUUCUCUCUCUUUUUCUCCUCUCUGAUGUGUGAACGAAAAUGGGUGCGAGCUAAAACACCCGAAAAACUUUACCAACUGAAACUUUAGUUGAUCUCUUGGUUUUCUUCUUAAUAUAGUUCUUCUUCUUCAAAAAGAAACAAAACAAAAAAACAAAACAAAACAAAACAAAAAAAGUUAUAUUAGUUUAUUUUGUUAAUUUCCAGUAGUAGUGAGUUAGUUUUUCAUGUGCCCGUCUUCGCCAUCAUGACCAA
rnacentral:pre_miRNA from 1 species